rnacentral:misc_RNA from 1 species
AGAGGAAGGAAAUUAGUAACAAGGUUUCUGUAGGUGAACGUACAGAAGGAUCAUUGUCGAAACCUGCACAACAAAACGAGCCCCCGAACCGGUGACAAUUGACUGGGCGCUUAACCCCCUUGCGAGCGUGGACAUCGCGUCUUUUGCCUGCAAACCGAACCCUAGUGUAGAAUGCGCCAAGAAAUCAAACCAAGAGAGCCACAUUGUAGGCCUCAAACACGGUGUGCCCCUGGCAUGGGCGUCUUAUGAAUUAUCCAAACGACUCUUGGCAACGGAUAUUUAAGCUCUUGCAUCGAUGAAGAACGUAGGGAAUUGAGAUACUUGGUGUAAAUUGUAGAAUCCGGUGAAUCAUUGAAUUUUUGAAUGCAAGUUAUGCCCCAAGCCAUUCAACCAAGGGCACGUCUACCUGUAUGUCAUGCAUCAUUGCCCCCCUAAAUGCCAAUUCAGGCGGGGCAAAAGUUGGCUCCUGUGCAUGCCUGCGUGCGCAGUUAGCCCAAAAGCAAGUCUUUAGCGACAAGCG